GAUUUCUAAUGUGCUACCAAUAAUUCGUUCCUAGACUACAAUCCAUAAUGUUUAGGGCACGAAAUUGUGCCGAUUAAUCCGUCCAAUCUAUAACUUUUCAAUGGUGUACGAACUAUAAUCUAGAGGAGUGCUUAGAAUUUAACAUGCUUAUCAUUUAAUCAAAUAUUGGUCAACAAAUACAAAUACAACCAACUAAAAUGGUUCCAAAACCAUAAUGUAACUUUUGAAA
rnacentral:lncRNA from 1 species